rfam:Ornithorhynchus anatinus chromosome X5, whole genome shotgun sequence.
AGCAGCGUGGCUCAGUGGAAAGAGCACGGGCUUGGGAGUCAGAGGUCAUGGGUUUGAAUCCCAGCUCUGCCA